rnacentral:rRNA from 1 species
GUUGUGGUUAAAAAGCUCGUAGUUGGAUCUCAACAGCCUUGAAGCGGUUAACUUUGUAGUUUUACUGCUUUAUAGGCUGUGCUUUUGCUGGAGGUUUAGGGGUGCUCUUGAUCGAGUGUCUCUGGAUGCCAGCAGGUUUACUUUGAAAAAAUUAGAGUGCUCAAAGCAGGCUAAAAUGCCUGAAUAUUCGUGCAUGGAAUAAUAGAAUAGGAUGUCGAUCCUAUUUUGUUGGUUUUCGGGACUCGACAUAAUGAUAAAUAGGGACAGUCGGGGGCAUUUGUAUUCAAACGACAGAGGUGAAAUUCUUGGACCGUUUGAAGACAAACUACUGCGAAAGCAUUUGCCAAGAAUGUUUUCAUUAAUCAAGAACGAAAGUUAGAGGUUCGAAAGGCGAUUAGAUACCGCCCUAGUUCUAACCAUAAACGAUGCCAGCUAGCGAUCUGCCUGCGUUUUUACUGUAGACUGGGCAGGAAGCUUCCGGGAAACCAAAGCAUUUGGGUUCCAGGGGAAGUAUGGUUGCAAAGCUGAAACUUAAAGGAAUUGACGGAAAGGCACCACCAGGAGUGG